ACAGAGUAGCCAAGAGAAUUGCCAAGACUUGAAAUGAUUGCGAGAAUUCAAGCCACAAGAAUGACAUAAAGAUGGAGAUGGAAUUGUUAAACAGCUGAAAAAACGCCAGUUUACGUAGCUGCAAAAUGGUGAAGAAAGUACGGAACAUGUGGAGGAACCGAGAAAGAUAAUACAUGUAGGACCAGAAGAAAACCCGACCAGAGGGACGUGUUCCCAGAGGAAAACAGAGAAGCCACUGAAAUGGGGUCUUGGAACGCCGCCAAAACCAGCGUGUUUCUUGGAUCUCCGCAGCUGUUGAAAGGAGAAUGCCAGCGAAGAUCGUGACCGAAAUCAACGCCAUGGAGAGACUAUGAACGGCGGGGAUUGGACCGAGAGGGACCACACGGCCACGACGGAGAAGAAUCGCCAAGAAAAGAUGGACGAAAGCGCAAAAUCCAAGGUAGAAGACUAUGGAGGAGAAGAGGAAUGACCAGGUGGAGCCCCAUGAUUGGCUGUGGCUCCAUCGGAAAUUAACAAUGGAUGGAUGCUCGGAGAGGUAAUAGUUUAGUGUUUGAAAGACGGCGUCCAUCAUCACCGUGGACGGAGGAUGAGACAGCGGAGGUGAGGUUUAGGAGAGGAGGAGCACCGCCCUGGCCGUGGUGGUUGCGUAUGCGGUUUGGUAGUCAUCCACGGCCGUGCC
rnacentral:misc_RNA from 1 species